GAGGUACUUCUAUUCACACUGCAGGAGGCACCACCUUUCCAGAAGCGAGAUUACGCUUGAAUCAUUCUCUUGGAAGACCAUCACGUAUGGAUGAGUUUUUUGAGCACACUCAUACUCGCAAAGAGGAUAGGACUCAAUGGGUUGAUGAACACUCCCGAAAGACAAAGGAUAUAUUUCAAGAGCGUAUGCUUCAGGCUGAGCAAGAGUGGCAGGCUGCUAUAGAGGCUGGUGUAACUGAUCCACCGCCUGUCUCUGAGGAAAGCAUAUGGAUUGAGACAGUGGGUGGAAAAUGAAGAGGUAGGGUAUAUGGUAUGGGUGAGGUAAGGGACUCUUCCAUGGUGCGGCCUCGAGUUGAUGGACCAACCACGACCACCAGUGCUGAUGUUUUGGAUCUUAGAGAACGAAUCAUAAUACUCAAUAGGGAAGUUGAACAACAUGCCGCUAAAUAUAGAGAGCUUGAAGACCGCUACCAAAGGGAGAAAAGAGAGUGGCAACAGACAGUUGAAUCCUUGCGUGAGGAUCUCAACACCAGUAACUCAUAGAUGGAUCAGUUUAGUCAUCAAUUGAGCAGCUUGACUGAGUAUGUGAGAGCCAUGGGUCCUAGUAGUUCUGGAUCACGUGUUCCCCCACCUCCUCCUUUUACUUUUUCAAGCUCUCAGAAAAGCACAGCUCCAGUCCCAGUCCCAACCCCAGCUUCAGGUAGAAAACUCCCACCUAUUCUGCAGCGACCAGGACAACCAUAGAGUUCUCAAAGGGAGGAUGAUUCUGACGAUUUUGAUGACUCGGAUGAUUAUUUAGACGAGUAUGAGUAGGUUAUUUAAUUACUUUACUUGGUAUAUUUUGUAUUAUUAGUAGAUUGCAAUUUAAACGAAUAUAAGUCUAAAUUUAGUUAUUUAUCUUGUCUUGAGUCUUUAUGUUAGAAGAUUAUUUAUUA